UAUUCGAACGAGCUCUUGGAUGACUGAAGUGGAGAAGGGUUUCGUGUCAACAGCAGUUGAACACGAGUUAGCCAAUCCUAAGCCGCAUGGGAAUCCAGUCGUAACCCAUCAGUCGGCGAAAGGGAAUCCGGUUACCAUUCCGGAGCCUGUUGAGUACCCGUUUGCGCCAGCCUAGUAGGGUUUAGCUCGUCCGCACCCGAACGGUUAGUGUGUAGCUUCAUGGCAACAUGAAUCCUUUUCUUCGAGAAGCCAACGAGAGGCAUCGGAAGAGUUUUCUUUUCUGUUUUACAGCCACACCGACCAUGGAAGUCACUCACAGAGAGAUAUGGUUGGACCGGUCUGGUAGAGCACGGCCGCCGCAACUGCCGUGUCGAUGCACUCUUCUUGGACCGUGAAAAUCGAAGACUGGGGCACACUUUAUAUGGUAAUAACGCACACUCUCAACAGAUUGUACCGAAUCCGCAGCAGGUCUCCAAGGUGCAGAGUCUCUAGUC
rnacentral:rRNA from 1 species